rnacentral:sRNA from 1 species
GUCUAGCCCUGAUAGAAACGGCAUCCUUUUGUGACGGGGUUCGCCACAAAAGAUAUAGUGGAGAGCAGGACUAAAC